rnacentral:rRNA from 1 species
UAAGAGGUCCAGCCUGCCCAGUGACUCUAGUUCAACGGCCGCGGUAUCCUGACCGUGCGAAGGUAGCGUAAUCACUUGUCUUUUAAAUUGAGACUAGUAUGAAAGGCACCACGAGAAUUAAACUGUCUCCUUUUUCUAAUCUGUGAAACUGAUCCCCCCGUGAAGAAGCGGGGAUUUUGAUAUAAGACGAGAAGACCCUAUGGAGCUUCAGACAAAUAACAAUGCCCUCCUUUUUUUCUAAAAAUACCCGAGCAUCUUAAUUAUUUAGUCUUAGGUUGGGGCGACCAUGGAGUAAAAACCACCCUCCAUGCUGAACAGGACCUCCUUAAAUAAGAGUAACAACUCUAAGAAUCAAUAAAUUGACACAUUUGACCCAAUUACUUGAUCAACGAAACAAGUUACCCUAGG